AUUCUGAAAGUCUCCGGCCGUCAAUUUGGAGAGCGCACGGUGGUAUUUGCAGUCUAGUUUGGGAAUUGGCACUUGUA
rnacentral:RNase_MRP_RNA from 1 species